rnacentral:rRNA from 1 species
AGCUCCAAUAGCGUAUAUUAAAGUUGCUGCAGUUAAAAAGCUCGUAGUUGGAUUUGUGGCGCGGUCGUCCGGCUCGGAUCCUUCAUUGGGCCCGCAUGUCUGGUUUUUCGGCCGCCCCAUUCUCGGGUAGUGUGUCGCUGGCAUUAGGUUGUCGGCUUCUUCACGCCCGUCGUUUACUGUGAAAAAAUUAGAGUGUUCAAAGCAGGCUUAGGCCGUUGGAUACAUUAGCAUGGAAUAAUGAGAUAGGGCCACGACGGUCUAUUUUGUUGGUUUGCACGUUGUGGUAAUGAUUAACAGGAACGGUUGGGGGUAUUCGUAUUCAAUUGUCAGAGGUGAAAUUCUUGGAUUUAUGGAAGACGAACUACUGCGAAAGCAUUUACCAAGGAUGUUUUCAUUAAUC